rnacentral:rRNA from 1 species
GUACCUUGACGGUACCUUAUUAGAAAGCCACGGCUAACUACGUGCCAGCAGCCGCGGUAAUACGUAGGUGGCAAGCGUUGUCCGGAAUUAUUGGGCGUAAAGCGCGCGCAGGCGGUCCUUUAAGUCUGAUGUGAAAGCCCACGGCUCAACCGUGGAGGGUCAUUGGAAACUGGGGGACUUGAGUGCAGAAGAGGAAAGUGGAAUUCCAAGUGUAGCGGUGAAAUGCGUAGAGAUUUGGAGGAACACCAGUGGCGAAGGCGACUUUCUGGUCUGUAACUGACGCUGAGGCGCGAAAGCGUGGGGAG